rnacentral:rRNA from 1 species
CGAACGAAGUUAGACAGAGGAAGUUUUCGGAUGGAAUCGGUAUAACUGAGUGGCGGACGGGUGAGUAACGCGUGGGAAACCUGCCCUGUACCGGGGGAUAACACUUAGAAAUAGGUGCUAAUACCGCAUAAGCGCACGGAACUGCACGGUUCCGUGUGAAAAACUCCGGUGGUACAGGAUGGUCCCGCGUCUGAUUAGCCAGUUGGCAGGGUAACGGCCUACCAAAGCGACGAUCAGUAGCCGGCCUGAGAGGGUGAACGGCCACAUUGGGACUGAGACACGGCCCAAACUCCUACGGGAGGCAGCAGUGGGGAAUAUUGCACAAUGGGGGAAACCCUGAUGCAGCGACGCCGCGUGAGUGAAGAAGUAUUUCGGUAUGUAAAGCUCUAUCAGCAGGGAAGAAAAUGACGGUACCUGACUAAGAAGCCCCGGCUAACUACGUGCCAGCAGCCGCGGUAAUACGUAGGGGGCAAGCGUUAUCCGGAUUUACUGGGUGUAAAGGGAGCGUAGACGGCAUGGCAAGCCAGAUGUGAAAACCCAGGGCUCAACCUUGGGAUUGCAUUUGGAACUGCCAGGCUGGAGUGCAGGAGAGGUAAGCGGAAUUCCUAGUGUAGCGGUGAAAUGCGUAGAUAUUAGGAGGAACACCAGUGGCGAAGGCGGC